GAUGAACGCUGGCGGCGUGCCUAAUACAUGCAAGUCGAGCGAACGGACGAGAAGCUUGCUUCUCUGAUGUUAGCGGCGGACGGGUGAGUAACACGUGGAUAACCUACCUAUAAGACUGGGAUAACUUCGGGAAACCGGAGCUAAUACCGGAUAAUAUUUUGAAACGCAUGGUUCAAAAGUGAAAGACGGUCUUGCUGUCACUUAUAGAUGGAUCCGCGCUGCAUUAGCUAGUUGGUAAGGUAACGGCUUACCAAGGCAACGAUGCAUAGCCGACCUGAGAGGGUGAUCGGCCACACUGGAACUGAGACACGGUCCAGACUCCUACGGGAGGCAGCAGUAGGGAAUCUUACGCAAUGGGCGAAAGCCUGACGGAGCAACGCCGCGUGAGUGAUGAAGGUCUUCGGAUCGUAAAACUCUGUUAUUAGGGAAGAACAUAUGUGUAAGUAACUGUGCACAUCUUGACGGUACCUAAUCAGAAAGCCACGGCUAACUACGUG
rnacentral:rRNA from 1 species